UUGGGACGGAGGUAACGUGCAUAUGACUCCCCGCUUCAGCUCCUGGAUCUAAGGAAAGCCUUUCAUUGCCUCUGGUCUCCAGUUAUAAAAGAAACUGUUAUGGCUCAGGCUCGCAGGCUUCAGGAAAGUUCCAGCACCUCAAAUGCAUUCAGUUAAUAUGCUGAAUAUUGACUCACAUGUGGCCAGCACUGAAAUGACACUUCCUCAUUUCUGAAGCAUGGCUUAAUCUUCACAGCCUGGUGAAGUCAGCUGGCAUCAUUUUCCCCUAUGAAUGGGGAAAAAUGGCAGGAAAAAGUAAGGUAUUUUAUGAAAUGCCAUUAUUGCCUUCAGGUUUUAUUCAAGGAAGUGCUCCUGUAAGUUUCUGCUGAGCUAACUAAUGAAAACAUACCAGAAGUAAUGGAGGAAGUGAUUGUGAUCCCAGGUGACUAAGAAAGAAGAGAAUGCUUUCUGUUAAGUUACCUAUGCCCAGCUGCCUUGAAGGAAGUUGGAAGGGAAUUUGCCUUUCCCAAUAUGUAAGGGCCACACUUGGACACAGCAGCCCAAUAUAACUGACAGUGAGGUGUGCUAAAAUUAGUUUAUACAGCAUCUUUGCUGCACUGACAGCAUCUCCCCUGGGGCUGCUUAAGGCACAAGGCCCUGCGUUCCUGCUCAGUGAAAGAAUGGGUGCGUCUUUUUUCAGCACUUACUCAGCCUGGCAGUCUCAGUCUGCAAGUGUUUUUCAUGUGUUGUCACUUGGAGAGACGUUGCAAGGAGAAGCAGAGCAAACUUGUCUGAGAACAAGAGAAGCAGUGAGAGAAUCACAGCGUCACAGACUGUUAGGGGUUGGGAGGGACCUCAAAAGAUCAUCCAGUCCAACCCCUCCUGCCAGGGCAGGAUCACACAGGAACACAUCCAGGUGGGUUUUGAAUGCCUCCAGAGAAGGAGACUCCGCAGCCUCUCUGGGCAGCCUGCUCCAGAGCUCUGGCACCCUCACAGAGAAAAGGUUUUUCUUUCUGUUCCUGUGGCACUUCCUCUGCUCCAGCUUGCACCCAAUGCCCCUUGGACAUCCCUGAGCAGAGCCUGGCUCUGUCUUCCCAACACUGCCCUUCACAUCUGUAGCAACAUGACCAAGGGCACCCCUCAGGCUCCUCUUCACCAAGCUACAGAGCCCCAGCUCCCUCAGCCUGUCCUCACAGGGAGAUGUUCCAUUGCCUUCAGCAGCUCUGUGGCUCUGUGCUGGAGUCUUUCAAGCAGUUCCCUGCGUCCCAGGAAGUGCAAGGAGACAAGAGACGGAAAGAAAUUGAAGCAAGGAGCAAAUAUGCUGAAGAUCUGCCUUUGGAUACCUUGGAGUUUGCAGCUGUGUAGUUGCCAGUGUGAUUUGACACAUUUGCUAGUUAUUUGACUUAUGGAAGGUAGUUACUGUCUACAGCAUGCAUCCUGUGUGCAUCCUUAAGCAUGUGUGGACACAAGGAAGCCCUGUGUUACAGAAGAGAGACCAUCUGGAUCAGAAACAGCAGUUUUUAUCUCACAAGAUAUUGAAUUCACUGGCUGGAGAAGAGCUGCAGACUAGAGAAAACAGAAGAAUUUGCUGAGGAAGCAGAAGAAGAGAGCCUUUGGCACGGAGCACUGCCAUGAUCUGUGCAAGAAUUCCCAUGGCAGGAGCAGCCUGACACAAUGGAGGCACUUUUUGCUUCAGGGUUUUACUGCCAGCACCUGAUGGACAAAUCUGAAGCCUCCAGGGGAUGAGCCCAAAGCAGCACCCACUGUGGAGAGCCCUUCCACACUGCCUCAGGGAGUCUGAUUGGAAACCAGGCAGCUGUGCAGCAGAUGUCAGCGUGGAGCUUACUGUGGCAUGGGAGAGAAGACAGCACCAGCAAACCACAGCAAGUGCUUAGCCUGCAGUGCAAAGCUCUAAAUCAUCCCUGCUGACAGAAGUGGACAAGCUGAAGCUGAAGUUUCUGAGCAGAGUGCUUGGAGUGGCAUCCUGUGCGUCAGCCCCCGAGCCGUGACCCCUCUUUUCCUCCCGCCCAAGAGACAAAUGCUUGGAAUAAGACCCAGAGGCCUGAUCCCGAAGCCCAUUAGCCUUUGGAAAGGCUGCCUAUGAUGUCAGUGGAUUUUGGAACAAGCUUUUGAUGCUUUCUGCUUCCUAAGGGGAAGAAGGAUCCUUUGCAAUGACUUUUAUCUGGAUAUCCAGCCCAGGCUUUGGCCGUCGCUCGCUGCCACUGACCUCUGCCACGAGCACAGCUGUCUGCAGCCCUGGGAGAGAUGACAGUGCCCUGAUGUCCUGAGCAACAGCUGCACACUACCUGCCUGGGAGAUCACUCAGGGGGCUGUGGAGAGCAGUCCAAAGGGACACAAAAUCCUCCCUGGGAGCUCCUGUGGCAGUGCUCUGUGUGUACAGGGCUGAGGAGAGAAGUGAUGAGCUUAGAAUCAUAGAGUCAGAAUGGGUUAGGUUGGAAGAGACCUCAAAGCUCAGCCAGUGCCAACCCCCAGCCAUAGGCAGGGACACCUCCCACUAGAACAGGUCACUCAAAGACUCAUCCAACCUGGUCCUGAGCACCUCCCUGGGCAACCUGUGCCAGUGUCUCGCCACCCUCAGCCUGUGCCAGUGUCUCACCACCCUCACUCCAAAGAACCCUUUCCUAACAUCCACUUUCAGUCUCCCCUCUGCCACUUCAAACCCAUUCCUCCUCAUCCUCUCAUUCCCAGACCUUGUCAAUAAUCCCUCCCCAGCUGUCCUGUAGCCCCCUUCAGAUCCUGGACAGGUUGCACAUCCACUGCUGCAUUGCCAAGAGCUUGGCACAUCCUUUUUGGGACCAUACUUGGUGGUUAACAGCAGGUAAGGUUGUCCAGUGGCCCAUCCUCAUGCCACACUGUAGAGAGAAAGAGAGAGAGGAAGAGAGGAAGAGAGAAGGAAAGUAGAAAGGAAAGGAAGGAAGGAAGGAAGGAAGGAAGGAAGGAAGGAAGGAAGGAAGGAAGGAAGGAAAGAAAGAAAGAAAGAAAGAAAGAAAGAAAGAAAGAAAGAAAGAAAGAAAGAAAGAAAGAAAGAAAGAAAGAA